CCUACGGGACGCACCAGUGGGGAAUAUUGCACAAUGGGCGCAAGCCUGAUGCAGCCGUGCCGCGUGUAUGAAGAAGGCCUUCGGGUUGUAAAGUACUUUCAGCGGGGAGGAAGGCGAUAAGGUUAAUAACCUUGUCGAUUGACGUUACUCGCAGAAGAAGCACCGGCUAACUCCGUGCCAGCAGCCGCGGUAAUACGGAGGGUGCAAGCGUUAAUCGGAAUUACUGGGCGUAAAGCGCACGCAGGCGGUCUGUCAAGUCGGAUGUGAAGUCCCCGGGCUCAACCUGGGAACUGCAUUAGAAACUGGCAGGCUGGAGUCUUGUAGAGGGGGGUAGAAUUCCAGGUGUAGCGGUGAAAUGCGUAGAGAUCUGGAGGAAUACCGGUGGCGAAGGCGGCCCCCUGGACAAAGACCGACGCUCAGGUGCGAAAGCGUGGGGAGCAAACAGGAUUAGAUACCCGUGUAGUC
rnacentral:rRNA from 1 species